rnacentral:sRNA from 1 species
AAAGACUGUAUGUUCUUUGCUGUUUCACUUGAUCCAGUUGGUGCUAUAUCUCUCCGAUGAUGCUCCCCUCAGUGUUUGCUAAAUUUCUUAGGUAUUGGUUUUCGCUUUGCUUCAUACAUCAAUAAUGAUAUGGUGCUGCAGAAGGAGCCUGCUGGGGCAGUGAUAUGGGGCUUCGGUACACCUGGAGCCACAGUGACCGUGACCCUGCGCCAAGGUCAGGAAACCAUCAUGAAGAAAGUGACCAGUGUGAAAGCUCACUCUGAUACCUGGAUGGUGGUACUGGAUCCUAUGAAGCCUGGAGGACCUUUCGAAGUGAUGGCACAACAGACUUUGGAGAAAAUAAACUUCACCCUGAGAGUUCAUGAUGUCCUGUUUGGAGAUGUCUGGCUCUGUAGUGGGCAGAGUAACAUGCAGAUGACUGUGUUACAGAUAUUUAAUGCUACAAGGGAGUUGUCUAACACUGCUGCCUAUCAGUCUGUCCGCAUCCUCUCCGUCUCUCCCACUCAGGCAGAGCAGGAGCUGGAGGACCUUGUUGCGGUUGACUUGCAAUGGUCUAAGCCCACCUCAG